rnacentral:rRNA from 1 species
UACACACCGCCCGUCACACCAUGGGAGUCAGUUGCUCCAGAAACGGCUGCGCUAACCCGCAAGGGGGCAGGUCUUUAAGGAGUGACUGGUAACUGGGGUG